GAUGAAGAACGUAGCGAAAUGCGAUAAGUAAUGUGAAUUGCAGAAUUCAGUGAAUCAUCGAAUCUUUGAACGCACAUUGCGCCCCCUGGUAUUCCGGGGGGCAUGCCUGUUCGAGCGUCAUUACAACCCUCAAGCUCUGCUUGGUAUCGGGCCCCGCCAGUUCUGGCGGGCCCUAAAGUCAGUGGCGGUGCCUUCCGGCUCCGAGCGUAGUAAUUCUUCUCGCUCUGGAGACCCGGUUGUGUGCUUGCCAACAACCCCCAAUUUUUUAAGGUUGACCUCGGAUCAGGUAGGGAUACCCGCUGAACUUAAGCAUAUCAAUAAGCGGAGGA
rnacentral:misc_RNA from 1 species